rnacentral:tRNA from 1 species
UGUAGAGUCAACUUAGCGGGUAAGGUUUUCCAGACUCAUAAUUGUGAUUAUGGCAGGUUCAACUGCCUGCCUCUACCU